rnacentral:tRNA from 1 species
UCUCUGACAGUCCAGUGGUUGGGACUCAGUGCUUUGACUGCUGUGGGCCUGGGUUCAAUCCCUAGUCAGGGAA